AAGCAACUAAUCUCAUCUAUGUGUAUAUUCAACAACAUAGAUGGGAUCAGUCGCUUGC
rnacentral:pre_miRNA from 1 species